rnacentral:rRNA from 1 species
GAUGAACGCUGGCGGCGUGCCUAAUACAUGCAAGUCGAGCGAACGGACGAGAAGCUUGCUUUUCUGAUGUUAGCGGCGGACGGGUGAGUAACACGUGGAUAACCUACCUAUAAGACUGGGAUAACUUCGGGAAACCGGAGCGAAUACCGGAUAAUAUUUUGAACCGCAUGGUUCAAAAGUGAAAGACGGUCUUGCUGUCACUUAUAGAUGGAUCCGCGCUGCAUUAGCUAGUUGGUAAGGUAACGGCUUACCAAGGCAACGAUGCAUAGCCGACCUGAGAGGGUGAUCGGCCACACUGGAACUGAGACACGGUCCAGACUCCUACGGGAGGCAGCAGUAGGGAAUCUUCCGCAAUGGGCGAAAGCCUGACGGAGCAACGCCGCGUGAGUGAUGAAGGUCUUCGGAUCGUAAAACUCUGUUAUUAGGGAAGAACAUAUGUGUAAGUAACUGUGCACAUCUUGACGGUACCUAAUCAGAAAGCCACGGCUAACUACGUG